GAUGAACGCUGGCGGCGUGCCUAAUACAUGCAAGUCGAGCGAACGGACGAGAAGGUUGCUUCUCUGAUGUUAGCGGCGGACGGGUGAGUAACACGUGGAUAACCUACCUAUAAGACUGGGAUAACUUCGGGAAACCGGAGCUAAUACCGGAUAAUAUUUUGAACCGCAUGGUUCAAAAGUGAAAGACGGUCUUGCUGUCACUUCUAGAUGGAUCCGCGCUGCAUUAGCUAGUUGGUAAGGUAACGGCUUACCAAGGCAACGAUGCAUAGCCGACCUGAGAGGGUGGUCGGCCACACUGGAGCGGAGACACGGUCCAGACUCCUACGGGAGGCAGCAGUAGGGAAUCUUACGCAGUGGGCGAAAGCCUGACGGAACAACGCCGCGUGAGUGAUGGAGGUCCUCGGAUCGUGAAACUCUGUUAUUAGGGGAGAACAUAUGUGUAAGUAACUGUGCAGAUCUUGACGGUACCUAGUCAGAAAGCAACGGCUAACUACGUG
rnacentral:rRNA from 1 species